rnacentral:pre_miRNA from 1 species
GAGUUGCGUGACAUACCUGUGUCUGCCACCUGUAUUUCUAUCACGUCAGAUGAAAGAAGUACAAGUGGUAGGGAAGGGUGUGUCGAUUGACAA